rnacentral:rRNA from 1 species
UGGGGAAUAUUGGACAAUGGGCGAAAGCCUGAUCCAGCCAUGCCGCGUGUGUGAAGAAGGUCUUCGGAUUGUAAAGCACUUUAAGUUGGGAGGAAGGGUUGUAGAUUAAUACUCUGCAAUUUUGACGUUACCGACAGAAUAAGCACCGGCUAACUCUGUGCCAGCAGCCGCGGUAAUACAGAGGGUGCAAGCGUUAAUCGGAAUUACUGGGCGUAAAGCGCGCGUAGGUGGUUAGUUAAGUUGGAUGUGAAAUCCCCGGGCUCAACCUGGGAACUGCAUCCAAAACUGGCAAGCUAGAGUAUGGUAGAGGGUGGUGGAAUUUCCUGUGUAGCGGUGAAAUGCGUAGAUAUAGGAAGGAACACCAGUGGCGAAGGCGACCACCUGGACUGAUACUGACACUGAGGUGCGAAAGCGUGGGGAGCAAACAGGAUUAGAUACCCAUGUAGUCCCUGAGCGGGCUGGCAAGGCGCAU